rnacentral:rRNA from 1 species
GUGCCAGCCGCCGCGGUAAUACGGAGGGUGCAAGCGUUAAUCGGAAUUACUGGGCGUAAAGCGCGCGUAGGCGGUUUGUUAAGUGAGGUGUGAAAGCCCCGGGCUCAACCUGGGAACCGCACUUUAUACUGGCAGGCUAGAGUAUGGUAGAGGUGGGUAGAAUUUCUGGUGUAGCGGUGAAAUGCGUAGAGAUCAGGAGGAAUACCGGUGGCGAAGGCGGCCCACUGGACCAAUACUGACGCUGAGGUGCGAAAGCGUGGGUAGCAAACAGGAUUAGAUACCCUGGUAGUCC